GAUCAUGGCUCGAGACGAACGCUGGCGGCGUGCUUAACACAUGCAAGUCGAACGGUGACCCAGGGCUUGCCCUGGGUGAUCAGUGGCGAACGGGUGAGUAACACGUGGGCAACCUGCCCCUGACUUCGGGAUAACUCCUCGAAAGAGGAGCUAAUACCGGAUACGACCACUUCGGACAUCCGAUGGUGGUGGAAAGUUUUCGGUCAGGGAUGGGCCGCGGCCUAUCAGCUAGUUGGUGGGGUAAUGGCCUACCAAGGCGACGACGGGUAGCCGGCCUGAGAGGGCGACCGGCCACACUGGGACUGAGACACGGCCCAGACUCCUACGGGAGGCAGCAGUGGGGAAUAUUGCGCAAUGGGCGAAAGCCUGACGCAGCGACGCCGCGUGAGGGAUGAAGGCCUUCGGGUUGUAAACCUCUUUCAGCAGGGACGAAGCGAAAGUGACGGUACCUGCAGAAGAAGCACCGGCUAACUACGUG
rnacentral:rRNA from 1 species